GGAUUGCCUCAGUAACGGCGAGUGAAGCGGCAACAGCUCAAAUUUGAAAUCUGGCUCCUCUCGGGGUCCGAGUUGUAAUUUGUAGAGGAUGCUUCGGGUGCGGCACCGGUCUAAGUCCCUUGGAACAGGGCGUCAUAGAGGGUGAGGAUCCCGUAUGUGACCGGCGACCAAGUCCAUGUGAAGCUCCUUCGACGAGUCGAGUUGUUUGGGAAUGCAGCUCAAAAUGGGUGGUAAAUUUCAUCUAAAGCUAAAUACCGGCCAGAGACCGAUAGCGCACAAGUAGAGUGAUCGAAAGAUGAAAAGCACUUUGGAAAGAGAGUCAAAAAGUACGUGAAAUUGUUGAAAGGGAAGCGCUUGUAACCAGACCUGCCGUCGGGUGCUCCGCGGGCAUUCUUGCCCGUUUACUCACCCGCGAUCAGGCCAGCAUCGGUUUUGGCGGCCGGAUAAAGACUCGAGGAAUGUAGCUUCGCUUCGGGGAAGUGUUAUAGCCUCUUGUGCCAUACGGCCAGCCGGGACCGAGGACCGCGCUUCGGCUAGGAUGCUGGCGUAAUGGUUGCAAGCGACCCGUCUUGAAACACGGACCAAGGAGUCUAACAUCUAUGCGAGUGUUUGGGUGUCAAACCCAUGCGCGGAAUGAAAGUGAACGGAGGUGGGAACCCUUAAGGGCGCACCAUCGACCGAUCCGGAAGUUUACGGAUGGAUUUGAGUAUGAGCAUAGCUGUUGGGACCCGAAAGAUGGUGAACUAUGCCUGAAUAGGGUGAAGCCAGAGGAAACUCUGGUGGAGGCUCGCAGCGGUUCUGACGUGCAAAUCGAUCGUCAAAUUUGGGUAUAGGGGCGAAAGACUAAUCGAA
rnacentral:rRNA from 1 species